GAUGAACGCUAGCGGCAGGCUUAACACAUGCAAGUCGAGGGGUAUGCCGAUUUAUCGGCAGAGACCGGCGCACGGGUGCGUAACGCGUAUGCAAUCUACCUUUCACAGAGGGAUAGCCCAGAGAAAUUUGGAUUAAUACCUCAUAGUAUAGCAAUUUCGCAUGAAACCACUAUUAAAGUUCCAACGGUGAAAGAUGAGCAUGCGUCCCAUUAGCUAGAUGGUAAGGUAACGGCUUACCAUGGCUACGAUGGGUAGGGGUCCUGAGAGGGAGAUCCCCCCACACUGGUACUGAGACACGGACCAGACUCCUACGGGAGGCAGCAGUGAGGAAUAUUGGACAAUGGGCGCAAGCCUGAUCCAGCCAUGCCGCGUGCAGGAUGACGGUCCUAUGGAUUGUAAACUGCUUUUUAUACAGGAAGAAACACUCCGACGUGUCGGAGCUUGACGGUACUGUAAGAAUAAGGAUCGGCUAACUCCGUGCCAG
rnacentral:rRNA from 1 species